GCGUGGCUCAUAAAGGGUCCCCGGCCCGAGCAGCCGGGAGGACCCGGGUUCAAAUCCCGGCCCCCGCA
rnacentral:tRNA from 2 species